rnacentral:misc_RNA from 1 species
GAUGAAGAACGUAGCGAAAUGCGAUAAGUAAUGUGAAUUGCAGAAUUCCGUGAAUCAUCGAAUCUUUGAACGCACAUUGCGCCCCCUGGCAUUCCGGGGGGCAUGCCUGUCCGAGCGUCAUUUCUGCCCUCCAGCCCGGCUGGGUGUUGGGCGCUGUCCCCCCGGGGACACGCCCCAAAGGCAGUGGCGGCGCCGCGUCGGGUCCUCGAGCGUAUGGGGCUUUGUCACCCGCUCGGGACGGACUCGUCGGCGCUGGUCUUCCUCCAGGCGACCCUUCGGGGCUCGUCUUCCUUCGGUUGACCUCGGAUCAGGUAGGGUUACCCGCUGUACUUAAGCAUAUCAAUAAGCGGAGGA